CUUCUUCUUUCAUCUUCUUCUCUGUUUCUCUUCUUCUCAUCUCUGUCGAUUUUAUUCUCAGUGGUUUGAGCUUGAGUCUCUCGAAAUUAGAUCUUAGAAAGAUUGUAGUUGUUGAGUUGAGGGAGAAGGUGAUGCUGCUGCUGUCGUUUGAGUUCUGGAAAAGCAGAAUUCUGUUAGUCGUUAUUAACAACGAUCGAUUCAAAGGAUGAUCCAGGGGAUUGAACAUCUCGAGGUAGGCGAGGCUUGUCAUCAAAAGAGUUUCAGAGACAGAUCAAGUUGUGCACGUGGCGAUGAAAGCUUUGAGGAGUUGGUUUCGUUAGUUGGUUAGCUUCCGCUAUGUUUAUUUGGUGUUUAUAUUCUAUUCGUAAAUCAACUAACUAUUAAAUAUGUAACACUUGGGAGGAGUUCUCGUAUUUAUUUCAGAGAGGGUUUAGAUUUUGGUUAA